rnacentral:rRNA from 1 species
CCGACGGUGAGGGGUGAAGGCUGGGGGCGCAAACCGGAUUAGGUACCCGGGUAGUCCCACAGUAAACGAUGCCAGCUAUGUGUGCUGGAACAUGGGUCCAGCAGUGCCGAAGGGAAGCCGUGAAGCUGGCCACCUGGGAAGUACGGUCGCAAGGCUGAAACUUAAAGGAAUUGGCGGGGGAGUACCACAACCGGUGGAGCCUGCGGUUUAAUUGGAUACAACGCCGGGAAUCUUACCGGAGGGGACAGCAGUAUGAAGGCCAGGCUAAAGACCUUGCCAGAUCAGCUGAGAGGAGGUGCAUGGCCGUCGCCAGUUCGUACCGUGAGGCAUCCUGUUUAGUCAGGCAACGAUCGAGACCCGCAGUCUUAUUUGCCAGCAUGCCCUUUGGGGUGUAUGGGUACAAUAAGACGACCGCCAGCGCUAAGCUGGAGGAAGGAGCGGGCUACGGUAGGUCAGCAUGCCCCGAAUCCUCCGGGAUACACGCGGGCUACAAUGGUCAGGACAAAAGGUACCGACCUCGAAAGAGUGAGGUAAUCCACAAACCUGAUCUCAGUCCGGAUCGAAGGCUGCAACUCGCCUUCGUGAAGAUGGAAUCGGUAGUAAUCGUGACUCAAAAUGUCACGGUGAAUAUGUCCCUGCUCCUUGCACACACCGCCCGU